UACAGAGGUCUCAAGCGUUGUUCGGAUUCAUUGGGCGUAAAGGGUGCGUAGGCGGCGCGGUAAGUCGGGUGUGAAAUCUCGGAGCUUAACUCCGAAACUGCAUUCGAUACUGCCGUGCUUGAGGACUGGAGAGGAGACUGGAAUUUACGGUGUAGCGGUGAAAUGCGCAGAUAUCAGGAGGAAUACCGAUGGCGAAGGCAGCCCCCUGGGAUAACACUGACGCUCAUGCACGAAAGCGUGGGGAGCAAACAGG
rnacentral:rRNA from 1 species